rnacentral:tRNA from 2 species
GCCUCCAUAGCUCAGUGGCUAGAGCGCUGGUCUAGUAAACCAGAGGUCAGGAGUUCGAUCCUCCUUGGAGGCA